ensembl:ncRNA F59D12.9 ncRNA
CCAGAUUGCUAGUUACAUAAUUUUAUACUUUUGCGGAUUAAAUAUCCAUUGGCUUUCUAGGAGCACAUGCCAGGGGCAGCAGGAGGAAGCAAAGAGCCGCUUCUCAUGUCUCGUCUAUUUCUGUGCUCUUUUCCUUAAGAUUUUUGUGUUUCUCUUACUUUU